UACGUAGGAUGCGAGCGUUGUUCGGAUUUAUUGGGCGUAAAGCGUGCGUAGGCGGUUACAAAAGGCUGGUGUUAAAGCUAGGGGCUCAACCCCUGUGAUGCACUGGAAACUAUGUGACUUGAGUGCGGUAGGGGAAGGUGGAAUUCCGAGUGUAGCGGUGAAAUGCGUAGAUAUUCGGAAGAACACCGGUGGCGAAGGCGACCUUCUGGGCCGCAACUGACGCUGAGGAACGAAAGCUAGGGGAGCAAACAGG
rnacentral:rRNA from 1 species